UUACUAAUUGAAAGAGUUGACACUGAAGAAUUCCUUCUCCUUUAACCUAGCGUCCUUCCAACAGCCAUUCACAAUGGUGAUUUUUUCGCACUCAAAGACCUGACUAUUCCUAGUUCUUUAGAGACUCUAGGUUCAAACCAGAGUUUGAUUUUUGAACCACUAUCCUUGCUGUCUUCGAAGAUUUCUUCAACUUGGUUGUAUUGGUGCAUGUCAUCUCAUGUGUAUUUGUCUCAAAUACUAUCAAAGUAAAUCAAGUGUGACUUUGUUGACAUACUUCUAGCUUUACACAGGAUUUUACUUGCUAAAAUCAGUGUUCACCCACGACAACUUUAUGUUGCUUUGUCAAGAGUUAAGAGUCGCAGUGGUCUCAGAUCUCUAACUCUGGACGAAGACGGCAAUGCAAAGUCAUCAACAACAAAUGUCGUGUUCAAAAAAGUUUUUAAUAAUAUUUAGACUUGAGAUGAAAUAUGUAAUAGGGAGCACAACAUCAUAUGCC